rnacentral:rRNA from 1 species
AUACAGAGGGUGCAAGCGUUAAUCGGAAUUACUGGGCGUAAAGGUCGCGUAGGUGGCUAUGUAAGUCAGAUGUGAAAUCCCCGGGCUUAACCUGGGACGUGCAUAUGAAACUGGAUAGCUAGAGUACAAUAGAGGGUGGUGGAAUUUCCGGUGUAGCGGUGAAAUGCGUAGAUAUCGGAAGGAACACCAGUGGCGAAGGCGACCACCUGGAUUGAUACUGACACUGAGGUGCGAAAGCGUGGGUAGCGAACAGGAUUAGAAACCCUAGUAGUCC